CUGUCGUCAGCUCGUGUUGUGAAAUGUUGGGUUAAGUCCCGCAACGAGCGCAACCCUUAUCCUUUGUUGCCAGCGGUCCGGCCGGGAACUCAAAGGAGACUGCCAGUGAUAAACUGGAGGAAGGUGGGGAUGACGUCAAGUCAUCAUGGCCCUUACGACCAGGGCUACACACGUGCUACAAUGGCGCAUACAAAGAGAAGCGACCUCGCGAGAGCAAGCGGACCUCAUAAAGUGCGUCGUAGUCCGGAUUGGAGUCUGCAACUCGACUCCAUGAAGUCGGAAUCGCUAGUAAUCGUGGAUCAGAAUGCCACGGUGAAUACGUUCCCGGGCCUUGUACACACCGCCCGUCACACCAUGGGAGUGGGUUGCAAAAGAAGUAGGUAGCUUAACCUUCGGGAGGGCGCUUACCACUUUGUGAUUCAUGACUGGGGUGAAGUCGUAACAAGGUAACCGUAGGGGAACCUGCGGUUGGAUCACCUCCUUACCUUAAAGAAGC
rnacentral:rRNA from 1 species